GGACUGCCAACUCAAAGUUGGCCAAGUUAAAUUGGCCCAGCCAAGAUUUGGGGAAUGAGUAGGGAAUUCAGCGGAAGGCUAGGAGAAUCAGAAGAAGCAGGGUACCUCUGGUCAUACUUCUGCCUGCAAUAAUCUCUUUGGUUAUGAAAUGUGAAAGGAUGACGUGAGUUUUUUGAGUGCCGCUGGGGCCCUAGGGACUUCCACUCCAAGUGCUCAUGUAGUGACCAAACAGGCGAAAGGUGCAGCCAGAUCUUCUGGGUCCAGUCUCUAGGUGCUGCCUCUCCAGAUUCCGGUUUGUGAUGAGCAAGUGAGAGACCAAAGAGACUUGAAAUGGUGGCAAGGAGCCCACGAUACCCACUGUUUGGCCUUACCCAGGCUGAAGCCGCCCUGCUAUCAGCGAUGAAGAAGAGGUUGAGGAAGCCAGACCCAGAAUUGAAGUUACUUGGUAGUCAACGCCUGCCAGAUCUCAUCUAGACCAGAGAACACACCACUUCCUCUUGGAACCCACUUGGAACUGCCCGAGGCCAGUGUUUGCUUUAGGCAAUAACAUUUCUGAGGUUCCCACUAGAGAAUCACCUCAAAGCCACCUACGGACAGAUCAGCUCCGUAGAGGACGUCAGUGCCGAAUCUGAGACAAGGCAGUGGAGAUUUAGCACGAGACCGUGAGAUUGUGGAAAAAGCCACUGGCUCACUCUUCUGCCAAGGCACGGUUAUUGCUGAGAGCUGAGAUCCAAACUGAUCUUUUCAUCUCCAAAUUGGGUGCUGGAUCACUAAGCUAUCAGGGUUAGCACCGAGGACUCAGACGGCUUGGGCUUUGUAAUGGUAUUUCAUAUUCUAUACGAGAUUCAGAAAA